CUUGGUGGUCAGAGGUCAAGCAGCCC
rnacentral:piRNA from 1 species